AAUCAACGCUGGCGGCGUGCCUCAGACAUGCAAGUCGAACGAUUAAAGCUCUCUUCGGAGAGUGUAUAGAGUGGCGCACGGGUGAGUAACACGUAAGUAAUCUACCUUUGAGUGGGGAAUAACAUCGGGAAACCGAUGCUAAUACCGCAUAAUGCAGCGGCAUCGCAAGAUGACAGUUGUUAAAGAAUUUAUUCGCUUGAAGAGGAGCUUGCGGCAGAUUAGCUAGUUGGUAAGGUAAUGGCUUACCAAGGCUACGAUCUGUAACCGGUCUAAGAGGACGGUCGGUCACACUGACACUGAAUAACGGGUCAGACUCCUACGGGAGGCAGCAGUCGGGAAUUUUGGGCAAUGGGCGAAAGCCUGACCCAGCAACGCCGCGUGAAGGAUGAAGUAUUUCGGUAUGUAAACUUCGAAAGAAUGGGAAGAAUCAAUGACGGUACCAUUUAUAAGGUCCGGCUAACUACGUGCCAGCAGCCGC
rnacentral:rRNA from 1 species